UACGUAGGGUGCAAGCGUUGUCCGGAAUUACUGGGCGUAAAGCGUGCGCAGGCGGUUGUGCAAGACCGAUGUGAAAUCCCCGGGCUCAACCUGGGAAUGGCAUUGGUGACUGCACGGCUAGAGUGUGUCAGAGGGGGGUAGAAUUCCACGUGUAGCAGUGAAAUGCGUAGAGAUGUGGAGGAAUACCGAUGGCGAAGGCAGCUCCCUGGGAUAACACUGACGCUCAUGCACGAAAGCGUGGGGAGCAAACAGG
rnacentral:rRNA from 1 species